rnacentral:rRNA from 1 species
CCCUUAGAUGUUCUGGGCCGCACGCGCGCUACACUGAUGCAUUCAACGAGUCUAAAACCUGCUCUGAUAGGGGUGGGUAAUCUUUUGAAUGUGCAUCGUGAUUGGGAUAGAUGAUUGCAAUUUUUCAUCUUCAACGAGGAAUGCCUAGUAAACGCAAGUCAUCAGCUUGCAUUGAAUACGUCCCUGCCCUUUGUACACACCGCCCGUCGCUCCUACCGAUUGAGUGGUCCGGUGAGGCUUUGGGAUCUGAGCGGAAAGAGCGUUUCGCUGUUUCUGCUCGGAAAACUCAGUCGAACCUUAUCAUUUAGAGGAAGGAGAAGUCGUAACA